rnacentral:piRNA from 1 species
UUCGGAAAAAACGAUCACACACUAUGUAAGC